rfam:Gasterosteus aculeatus cont1.014816, whole genome shotgun sequence.
UUUAAAGUGUGAUGUAAGUUGCUUUGGAUAAAAGCGUCUGCUAAAUGACAUGUA